CCGGUCAGAGCCGGGCCGGGCCGCGCCUGGACUGACAGUAGACCGGCCCGGCCCGGGGUGCCGGGGACCGAAACGGACACCAGCUUUACCUCAGCCCAACUCAGCGGAAGCAUCUGGUCCUCCGUACCUGUCUGGUGACUUUUCAAAGUUCUAACUGCACAGCGUUUUUUCAAAAGAAGAAAAAACUAAAACCAGGUAUGUCUUAGAAAAUCCGAUAUUUGUGAUAAAAUGCUUUGUGCAUAUUGUGGAAAUUUGGUUAAUCACUAGAAUACAGGUACAGAUUGAUUAGGCCUUUGUCUUGCAAGUCUUCAGUACAUACUUAAGAAUGCCCAUUGACGUUUGUAGGAUUAAGUCAUUAUUUUUUGUCACAUACUACUCUCAAAAUUUUGCUUAGGAAAAGG